CGAUUUCUCUUCUUCUCUUUGAUUUUGUUCCCCGACGAUUUAGAGCUUGUUCCCAGACGAUUUCGAGCUUCUAAUUCGAUCUUGUUCCCCGAAGAUUUCGAGUUUGUUCCCAGAAGAUUAUCACCCACUUGUGUCAAUCAGAAGUACAUGCCAGAAUUAGCUGCCCUUUUCCCUCAUAUACUUGUCGACGUCAGUAGCGUCAAGGCUCUAUGCUCCCGAUGGUUCCCCAUAGAGAAAAGGAGAGCUCCUGCAAAGAAAAACAACCACAGAGCCAUGGAUUAUAUAAGAGAAACCAUAAAGGAACUUAAGUACUACAAGAAAACAAUAUUCAAAGCAAGGAAAUGAGUGGAGUUAGGUCCUGCAAUAUGCUUUGGUUUUUUAUGAAGAAGGAGAAGAAGGAGAAGAAGGAGAAGAAGAAGAACAUAUUGCAUAUGAGCCGACCGGUGAUAGAGCGAUGGAAGCUUGGCGUGACAACAUCACGAAUGAAUGUAAUAGAGGUCGUUUACCUUAUUAGAUAUUUUUAGUUUUUUUGUUUAUGACUUGGUUUAUUAUUUUUAGUUAAUAACUUUGUCAAUCUUUUUUCGUUUAUGACUUGGUGUAUUACGUUUAGUUAAA